AUGAAGAAAGAAGAAACAGUGAAACUGAUCAGUUCCGAGGGUUUCGAAUUCGUGGUUGACAAAGAAGCUGCCAUGGUUUCUCAAACCAUUCGCAACAUGCUUACUUCUCCAGGGAGUUUUGCUGAAAGCCAGCACGGAGAAGUGACUUUUCCUGAGAUCAGUACCACUAUUCUUGAGAAGAUUUGUCAGUAUUUUUAUUGGCAUCUUGAAUUCGCCAGUGGAAAGGACAGAGACACAUUCACUUCCCAAAGGUAA